AGCAGUCGCCGCGGUAAUACGAAGGGUGCAAGCGUUAAUCGGAAUUACUGGGCGUAAAGCGUGCGUAGGCGGUUUGUUAAGUCUGUUGUGAAAUCCCCGGGCUCAACCUGGGAAUGGCAAUGGAUACUGGCAAGCUAGAGUGUGUCAGAGGAUGGUGGAAUUCCCGGUGUAGCGGUGAAAUGCGUAGAGAUCGGGAGGAACAUCAGUGGCGAAGGCGGCCAUCUGGGACAACACUGACGCUGAGGCACGAAAGCGUGGGGAGCAAACAGGAUUAGAUACCCCGGUAGUCCCUGUCUCUUAUAC
rnacentral:rRNA from 1 species